rnacentral:rRNA from 1 species
AACGAACGCUGGCGGCAUGCCUAACACAUGCAAGUCGAACGAGACCUUCGGGUCUAGUGGCGCACGGGUGCGUAACGCGUGGGAACCUGCCCUUAGGUUCGGAAUAACUCCCCGAAAGGGGAGCUAAUACCGGAUAAUGUCUUCGGACCAAAGAUUUAUCGCCUUUGGAUGGGCCCGCGUUGGAUUAGCUAGUUGGUAGGGUAAAAGCCUACCAAGGCGACGAUCCAUAGCUGGCCGGAGAGGAUGAUCAGCCACACUGGGACUGAGACACGGGCCAGACUCCUACGGGAGGCAGCAGUGGGGAAUAUUGGACAAGGGGCGAAAGCCUGAUCCAGCAAUGCCGCGGGAGUGAUGAAGGCCUUAGGGUUGUAAAGCUCUUUUACCCGGGAUGAUAAUGACAGUACCGGGAGAAGAAGCACCGGCUAACUCCGUG